rnacentral:rRNA from 1 species
UACGUAGGUCCCGAGCGUUGUCCGGAUUUAUUGGGCGUAAAGCGAGCGCAGGUGGUUUAUUAAGUCUGGUGUAAAAGGCAGUGGCUCAACCAUUGUAUGCAUUGGAGACUGGUAGACUUGAGUGCAGGAGAGGAGAGUGGAAUUCCAUGUGUAGCGGUGAAAUGCGUAGAUAUAUGGAGGAACACCGGUGGCGAAAGCGGCUCUCUGGUCUGUAACUGACACUGAGGCUCGAAAGCGUGGGGAGCAAACAGG